GUCAGUAACUCAGUGGUAGAGCGUCCGACUGGUGUGCAAAAGGUCAUAAGUUCGAUUCCUGUUAGGGAAACG